GGUCCCGGAAGAAGAUUGUUCUGCAUUCUUACACGAACGAGGGACGUGCAGGUUGAUAAACCAGUUGGAAUUGGACCAGAGAAAGCAUUGUUAAACAUGAUAAGCUUAGUGAGGUUACCUUUGGCGCAUAAUCCUGCUGGAAUUGGACCGGUAAAUGAGUUGGAUGAAAUAUCCACCCAUUGCAAUGGCGAGUUUCUUCCAAGAUCACUUGGCAAAGGACCUGAUAAGCUGUUAUUCCAUAGCUCAACUACUUCCAGCUGAGUCAAAC
rnacentral:misc_RNA from 1 species